AUUAAGACCAUCUAUUACCAAAAAAAGACUAUCAGUGAAUGAAAAGGGAAACUUUAGCAUGGAGGGAGAUAUUUGUAAUACACGUAUCCAAAAAGGACUCACAGGCAAAAUCUAAAAGAACUUCUACAAAUCAAUAAGAAAAAGACUACAGAAAAGAAAAAUGGACAUGACACUUAAGAAUUUCACAAAAGGCUAUCCAAUGUCCAAUAAGGAAACGAAAAGAUACUCAACCUCCUUUAGUGAUCAGAGACACGCAAAUUGAUACAACAUUGCAAUCCCACUACCCACCCACCAGAAUGGCUAAAAUUAAGAUGACUGACAGUACCAAGUAUUGGCAAGGCUGGGGAGCAAUUGAAACUUUCCUGCGUGAUUGGUGAGAAUGUAAAUUGGCAUACUAUAAAGCAGGGUUCCCCAACCCCCAGGCCAUGGACCCAUACUGGUCUGUUAGGAAGCGGGUCACAUAGCAGGAGGUGAGCGGCAGGCUAGCAAGCUAAACUUCAUCUGUGUUUGCAGCCACUCCUCAUCGCUUGCAUUACUGCCUGAGCUCCACCUCCUAUCAGAUCAGCUGCGGCAUUAGAUUCUCAUAGGAGCUUGAACUUCGUGUACGAGGGAUCUAGGUUGUUUGACCCUUAUGAGAAUCUAAUGCCUGAUGAUCCAUCAUUGUCUUCCAUCACCCCCAGAUGGGACCAUCUAGUUGCAGGAAAACAAGCUCAGGGAUCCCACUGAUUCUACAUUGUGGUGAGCUGUAUAAUUAUUUCAUUAUAUAUUACAAUGUAAUAAUAAUAGAAAUAAAGUGCAC
rnacentral:lncRNA from 1 species